AUGUUUUAAAUUAGAACACAAUGAAAUGAAGACAGUGUUUUUAACAAUCGUCAUCCUUUCUUUCCUUGACAGCAUAAUGAGGCAGUGGUUUUGUAAGCGUUACAUCUUUAACAUCAAGAGUUCAUUUUGUGACACUAAUGGAAAGAUGAUGGAAAAAUGAAGAAAGAAAAUAAAAAAGUCAAUCUACAAGGAAAAAAAAGGAAAGAGAAUAUUGGCUCAAAAAUAAUUGACUUUGUGCUUUACUCCUUCUAGACAUCAUAAUUUUAAUUUUAUGAUAAUAAAAUCAAGUAGGGAAAAUAAUUAUUAAAUUUUCCUCCAUAGAGUCAUACUUGUGGCAAACAAAUAGACUGGUUACUUAGCACUGGGAUAUCUGCUAUUGUAAUGACUUCUUUUUUUUAUUUUAAAGAUAAAAGAACCAAAACAUAUUAACAAACACACAGAC
rnacentral:lncRNA from 1 species